AGACUCUCCCCUGGGUCCCUGUCUGACGAGCUCUAGGCAACCUGCCCUCGUUCGGGACACAAACGUCGAUCUCACCCCUCAGUUUCUGCCAGAGAAAAAGGAAAAGUCACCGAGAGGCCUGACCCUGACGGGCGGGGGGAGAUGUGCGUGCGGAGUAGCGGGAAGCGACUGAGGAACGGGGACUGGGCAGCAUUUGAAUGGAUGCGGGUGCCGCUGGCACCCGGGAAGACGCUGGGGGCCGGCGCUGUAGAGCCAGGCAUGGGCUGGGAUGUGUUUGGAUUCCAAUCUGGGCCUGACACCAGUUCAGUGACCUCGGGAAGUUCCCCAACCCUCCGGGCCUGUUUCCUCCCUCUGAAGUGGCGACAGUAAUAGAACCGACCUCGUAGGCUCAUCGGGAGGUCCUGAUGGGAGAACCCAUGCAACUUGCCACCACAGAGCCAGGCCCGCGGCGGUUGGCGCCUGAUGGGUAUUAAAGACGAGUCGGGAAAGAAGAGCAGGUAAGAGGGUGGGGAGACUGGCCCAGUGGGUUGGGGUGUGCACCUCGGCCACGUGGAAAAGCGAGAAUGCAGGGGCCAGACGCUUAUGGACGAUGCAUAUGUGGGGCCGGUUAGAAUUGUGGCAGGAGGCGCUGGGGCUGAUGCGCCUCGCCCGGAUUAUCCUCUGUAAUCCUCACAGCCCUGUGAAGUGGGCACUGCCAUGAACGUUUUGUAAAUAAGGGACCCGAGGCUCAGAGAGGUGAAGUAACUUUCCAGACGGCCCAGCUCGUCAGCGGCCAGCAUUUGAAAUCACACUCCAGAGCCUGUUUUUAACAUAAUAGCCGCUGUGACCGCAUAACCAACGUAUGUGUGUUGAAGUGAUCAAAUAACCAUGCAGUGUCUUUGAUGUCCAGGACUUUUGAGAAAUACCUAAGAAGUAUGAGGCAAGGCCCCUGCCUUCAAAGAGCUUGCAAGUUUUUGGGGGAGACUUAGGCACAAAUUAACCAACAUCUGUUGAGCACUUGCUGCUUGCCAGGACCCUGCCCUUCCCCUCGUGUCUUCCUCCAUUCCAGGACUCACCCCCUCACUUACCCUCCCCCUCAAUUCUCACAGCAACCCUGGGAGGUAGGCCUUAUGGUUUCUGUUUUGCAAAUGAAGAACCUGAGAUUGAAGAAGAGUAGAGAUUGGAGGAUCAGGUCCUGAGAGGUCCCAUGUGCUUUCCAAUAACAGUUCAGUAUAUUAGAAGACAGUAUUGCAUCCACGGCCAAGUACUACUAGUUGACAGACUGGAUGCUGCUAUGAUAAUCUGCCUCAGAAAAAUGCCGGACUGUUGUUUGCAAGCUGGUUAAGUGAGCAAAUCUUGGGAAAAUUUCAAGUCAUGGAAUAAGGCCAUACCCUGUGGGUAGGGUAUAAAGGUUUCUCUCUAUAUAGUAGGUGUUCUCAUUAUCAGUCAUUCAAAGAAAAAGAGAAUCCUCACCAGAAAAACUUGGAACAUGGAACAGAUGGAAGGUGGCACUUCUGGAUAUGCCUUUUUACAUCUGAACUUGGAAGAGUUAAGAAUUGUUGAAGGCCCUUCUCACAGAUCAGGGGAAAUAGCUUCUGUCACAGAGCUGCCUACUCCAGGAGAACCAAAAAUGAAAGUAAACACUCAUAUUUUGUAAGUCUGUUCCUGAACUUCCGUCAAUCAAGUUUAAUCUAAAUCAAGGAUUCAAACUGAGAAGCAUUUAAAGACCAAGAAAAAGUUAAUUAGCCCAGUAUAAGUCAACAAGAAAUGGUAAGCAGUAUGGGGGAAAAGGAGUGCUACACCCUUCUAGGCAUCCAAAUUCAAGCAUUUACAAUGUACUGCAUGAAGCAGUACCCUAUACAGCACUAAUAACAGCCCAAACUUGCUUGACAUUUCUACAUAAUACAUUAUUCAUUAAUUCAGAAGAAAAAUAGAAUUCUUAAAACUCCUAACUUUAUUUUUAAUUAAUAUAAAGGAUGAACCAACAACAACAAAAAAUUGUGUGGGCGUUAGAAAAUAAGGACUAGGCGCCUGGGCACGGUGGCUCACGCCUGUAAUCCCAGCACUUUGGGAGGCUGCAGUGGGCAGAUCACAAGGUCAGGAGAUUGAGACCAUCCUGGCUAACACGGUGAAACCCCGUCUCUACUAAAAAAUAGAAAAAAUUAGCUGGGCGUGGUGGUGGGCACCUGUAGUCCGAGCUACUCUGGAGGCUGAGGCAGGAGAAUGGCGUUAACCCGGGAGGCGGAGCUUGCAGAGAGCCGAGAUUGCCCCACGGCACUCCAGCCUGGGCGACAGAGCAAGACUCUGUCUCAAAAAACAAAAAAAGGAAAAGAAGGACUAGGCAGGCAGAUGUGGGGUGGGGCAAAAUAAACAUGGCAGCCAGCAGACCAGUCUGUUUCAGCAUAGUCUCUGCUGCAGUAUUUAAGAAAUAGGUAGAGCCAGCCGGGCACGGUGGUUCACGCCUGUAAUCCCAGCACUUUGGGAGGCCGAGGCGGGCGGAUCACCUGAGGUCUGGAGUUCAAGACUAGCCUGACCAACAUGGAGAAACCGCGUCUCUACUAAAAAUACAAAAUUAGCCAGGCAUGGUGGCACAGGCCUGUAAUCCCAGCUACUUGGGAGGCUGAGGCAGGAGAAUCACUUGAACCCAGAAGGCAGAGGUUGUGGUGAGCCCAGAUCGUGCCAUUGCACUCCAUCCUGGGCAACAAGAGUGAAAUUCUCCAUCUCAAAAACAAAGAAAUAGGUAGAGCCGGGUGUGGUGGCUCACGCCUGUAAUCCCAGGAGGCUGAGUUCGGUGGAUCACUUGAGAUCAAGAGUUUGAGACUAGCCUGGCCAACAUGUGAAACCCCAUCUCUGCUAAAAAAAAAAAAACAAAAAUUAGUCGGGCAUGGUGGCAGGCACCUGUAAUCGCAGCUACUUGGGAGGCUGAGGCAGGAGAAUCGCUUGAACCCCAGAGGCAGAGGUUGCAGUGAGUUGAGAUCGCAUGACUGCAGUCCAACGACAGGGUAAGACUCCGUCUCAAAAAAAAAAGGUAGAAAGCAGAAUGCUUCCUCCCGGUGCCAAGGGUGAUUUAUGAAAGAUCCCCAAGGAAAAGUUGAAUAUCAGAAUGAGAGUCAUUUUGGCAGUCCCAUCCCUGUUUGGAGACACUCCUUUCGUUGUUACUUUUGGCAGAUGAAGAUUUGAGUUUAAGAGACCUGGUGGAUUUCCGUACAACCUCAUAAUUUCCCCCUAUCCAAGACCCAUGGUUCCAUUUUUGUCACUGUGGCCACAGUGGCUGAAAUGGCUCACUUCAUCCUUUGCACUAAACAGCCUUCAGCCCCACACUGCACCACUAAAUGGACAAGUUCUUUUUUCUCUAGUGUCUUAAAUUCAUGGCCUCAGUCUGAGGGCUUUAGUUUUAUACUGCUUUGGGAGAGUCCUCUUUAAAGUCUUAGAGAUAUACAUAUACCUCUUACUGUUUACCACCUCUAAUUUAAUAGCAAGAAAGAAACUGGAAAUCUUGUAGGAAUACUCUCUGUUCCUUUUUUUUUUUUUGAGACAAAGUCUCACUCUUGUCACCAGGCUGGAGUGUAAUGGCGUGAUCUUGGGAUCUUGGUUCACCGCAACCUCUGCCUCUCAGGUUCAAGUGAGUCUCCUGCCUCAGCCUCCCCAGUAGCUGGGAUUAUAGGCACCUGCCAACACGCCUGGCUAAUUUUUGUAUUUUUAGUAGAGACGAAGUUUCACCAUGUUGGCCAGGCUGGUCUCGAACACCUGACCUCAGGUUAUCUGCCCGCCUCGGCCUCCCAAAGUGCUGGGAUUACAAGUGUGAGCCACUGUGCCUGGCCGAGGAACACUCUUUGUUCUAUGCUACCUACCAGGACAGCUAGUCUACUCAGUUACCCCAAAACCAAAAGCAUAGUAACUCAACAAGCUCAGAAUACACCAUUCUGCUUGCAGCCAUUGUUUUCACCACUACCCCAUUUCCCCCUGCACACAUAGCUCAUUACCUUGUCACAUGUACAUUUAAUGUAGUCACAGCAGGAGCUAGAAUCUGGAGAUGUUACAUGCCACACAAGAGGUCAGUGAGAAACACAAAACCAUAUUGCAAAUGGGUAACAUAUCAGUGUGACCAUCCAAGCAGAGGAUUAGCUAUGGCCUUCAUCUCAUGUUCCCAUUAGGCUCAGAUGGGCUAGAUAAUGGGAUUUUGCUCCUAUUUCCAAUUCAAAGAUAGUCAACCUGGGAGCUUUCUAACUCUAUCAUAUGUAUUUCAUUUAUUUCCAAUUCAAAGAUAGUCAACCUGGGAGCUUUCUAACUCUAUCAUAUGUAUUUCAUUUGUUUCACUAGUUACUCAUUUGAUCAACCCAGGGAAGACCAUAUCAUGAAUGAAACACACACAGCCCAAGUAUGCUUUAACCAUAACGUGGAGUGCAUAAUUCAGGCUACCAAGACCAUUUAACAGAAUCCAGUGGAAUGAGGGAAGUCUGGACUACAGGAGUUAGUGGGGGAAUUCUCAGUCACUGGAACCAUGCUUCUGAACAAAGGCCUUCACCAAGAACCUAGGGUAAUCUUAUUCCAUCUGCCAGAACUUAUAGGGAUAUCACUAAAUUAUGCUUAGUCAAAAUUGGGUAAUUUGUAGUUUAUAAGUACUAUAAAACUGAUAUUUAAAUCUAGGUCUACUUAAUUCCUAGCUUCUGUUCUUAAGUGCUGGAUUAUUUUGAUUCAUUUAUUUUGUUCAAAAUCUUGACAUUAUAGGAAAAGAUGGGGAUGAGGAGGAUGAUGAGGCAGGAAAAUGCAGAACUGUUUCAUAGUCCCAACGCUGAACCUUUGUACAGGCUGUUUCUUCUUCAUAUAAAGCACUUCUUGGCCAGGCGUGGUGGCUCACGCCUAUAAUCCCAGCUCUUUGGGAGGCUGAGGUGGGCGGGUCACUUGAGGUCAGGAGUUCGAGACAAGCAUGGCCAACAUGGUGAAACCCAAUCUCUACUAAAAAUACAAAAAAAUUAGCCAGGUGUGGUAGUGCGCCUGCAGUCCCAGCUACUUGGGGGGCUGAGGCAGGAGAAUCGUUUGAACCAGGGAGGCAGAGGUUGCAGUGAGCCGAGAUCGUGCCACUGCACUCUAGCCUGGGUGACAGAGCGAGACUCCAUCUCAAAAACAAUAAAUAAAUUUUAAAAAAAAAAAGCACUUCUUCCUUCCACUUGGUAAACUGUGUACAGAGUAACAUGGAGAUGGAGGAGAGGCAGGUAGAUUAAGGGGGAGCAGUUUUAGUAAUUCUACUAUAUGAUUCAGACCUCUUUUUAAUUCAGCUUUCCUGCUAAUGAAUGUAAAUUAGUAAGGUUUCUGCUGGGCACGGUGGCUCAUGCCUGUAAUCCCAGCACUUUGGGAGGCCGAGGCGGAUGGAUCACGAGGUCAAGAGAUCAAGACCAUGCUGGCUAACAUGGUGAAACCCCGUCUCUACUAAAAAUACAAAAAAAAUUCGCCAGGCGUGGUGGCAGGCGCCUGUAGUCCCAGCUACUCAGGAGGCUGAGGCAGGAGAAUGGCGUGAACCUGGGAGGCGGAGCUUGCAGUGAGCGGAGAUCGCGCCACUGCACUCCAGCCUGAGUGACAUAGUGAGACCCUGUCUCAAAAAAAAAAAAUUAAUAAGGUUUCAUAAUUAUUAUAUUUACCAACCAGGUUCUUUCUACAUAAUUAUUGUUUACCUUCUAAUAAAUUACUUAGAAAGGCCACCUACAAAUCCAAAUUAUAUACAAAAUGUUUCAUUUCCUAUUUGCUUCCCAGGGAUGCAUAAUUAUUUUGGAAAAAUCAUUGGCAGCUGGGUACGGUGGCUCAUGCCUGUAAUCCCAGCACUCUGGGAGGCCAAGGCAGGCGGAUCCACCUGAGAUCAGGAGUUCAAAACCAGCCUGGCCAACAUAGUAAAACCCCAUCCUUACUAAAAAUACAAAAAUUAGCUGGGCGUUGUGGUGCACGCCUAUAGUCCCAGCUACUCAGGAGGCUGAGGCAGGAGAAUCGCUUGAACCUAGGAGGCAGAGAUCGCAGUGAGCUGAGAUGGUGCCACUGCACUCCAGCCUGGGUGACAGAGCGAGACUGUCUCUUAGGGAAAAAAAAAAAAUAAUUGGCUUGUAAGUUAAAAUCUUUAUCUUGCUCUACCUUGUCUGGAAUACCUACAUCUCAUGUCUUUUUAACAUUACAUAUUCACAAGCUUUACCAAUUCAUGGAAAGGAUUCCUCUAGGAUUUUGGUGGAUCUCUUGAAGCACUAAGAACCUCAAGCAAAAAUGUAUGCAAUCUUUGUACUUUAAAAUUAAAGUAUUUCAACCAGGAGCAGUGGCUCAUGCCUGUAGUCUCAGCGCUUUGGGAGGCCAAGGCAGGAUGAUUGCUUAAGCCUUGGAGUUUGAGACUAGUCUGGCCAACAUAGCCAGACCCCGUUUCUUUAAAAAAAAAAAAAAAAAAAAGCAAUUAGCUGCAUGUAGUGUCACACACUUGUAGUAUCAGCUUUGGGAGGCCCAGAUGGGAAGAUUGCUUGAUCUCAGGAGGUUGAGGCUGCAAUGAGCUAUGAUCAUGCCACUGCACUCCAGCCUGGGUGAUAGAACAAGACCCUGUCUCAAAAAAAAAUUUUUUUAAUAGAUAAACAUUCAGGCAUUCCAAACUCCUAAUGUGUUGUCUACUAUUAAGAAUGCAUGCUGGCUGAGGCAGGAGUUCAAGACCAGCCUGGCCAACAUGAUGAAACCCCAUCUCUACUAAAAUACAAAAAUUAGCUGGGCCAGGUGGUGGGUGCCUAUAAUCCCAGCUACUCAGGAGGCUGAGGCAGGAGAAUGUCUUGAACCUGCGAGGUGGAGAUUGCAGUGAGCCGAGAUCUCACCACUGCCUUCCAGCCUGGGCAACAGAGUAAGACUCCGUCUCCAAAAAAAAAAAAAAAAAAGAAUCUGUGGAAUUUAACAUUCCUUUAAACUUAAAAAAUAAGAAAGAAUAAAUUAAAAAAAAAUUAGAAGAAUGCAUGCUGGGGUCUGCUCAGUGAUUCACAAAGCAGGAAAUCUUUUGAGCCAAGGAGUUUGAGACCAACCUGGGCAAAGUGGCAAGACCCUGUCUCUACAAAAAAAUUAAAAAUUAGCAGGGCAUGGUGGCACACUUCUAUAGUCCUAGCUACUUGGGAGGCUGAGGCAGGAGAGUCAUUUGGGCUCAUGUGUUUGAGGUUACACUGAGCUUUGAUCACACCACUGCACUCCAGACUGGGCAACAGAGCAAGACCUUAUCUCAAGAAAACAAACAAAAAAAGAAUUCAGGGCUGGGGGUGGUGGCUCACACCUGUAAUCCCAGCACCUUGGGAGGCCAAGGCAGGCAAAUGACUUGAGGUUAGGAGUUUAAGACCAGCCUGGCCAACAUAGUGAAACCCUGUCUGUACUAAAAAUACAAAAAUUAGCUGGGUGUGGUGGCAGGCGCCUUUAAUCCCAGCUACUUCGGUGGCUGAGGAAGGAGAAUCGCUUGAGCCCAGGAGGUGGAGGUUGCAUUGAGCCAAGAUCGUGACACUACUCCAGCCUGGACGACAGAGCGAGACUCUGAAAAAAAAAGUUCAGGUGGGAGGAUCCCUUGAGGACAGGAGUUCAAGACCAGCCUGGGCAAUGUAGCAAGACCUUGUCUCUUAAAAAAAAAAAAAAGAAUGCAAAAGCUAUAGAACAUUUUCCUAGGAGAGAAUGCUAGGAGGAAGGAGGGAAACAGUAUAUUUUAAGGUAAAUAAGAAAGGCCUAAUGCCCCGUGGAUAGAUUUUUCUAUCUACAUAUUGGAGAUAAGUUUAAAUUUUGUGUUAGUGUUUGGGUAUUACUUCCUGCCAACGUGAAUAGUUAACCUUUCUAAGACAAUCUCUACUAAGAAUUUGGACUUUUUCAAGAUUUUUGCCUACUUCUUUCAAAGAGAUUGCAAAACAAUUUUAACUCACUAAAGAACGUUUUUCACCUCUUGAUUGUCCAGUACAAGUGUAGUACAGUUCUUUUUUAUCUAUCCUCCCUUUGUUUUUAUAGACUGGAAGGUAUCCAGAAAUAAGGCAUUCAGAAAUGGAGACACACAUAGAUGAAGGCAAAGGCCAUUCCUAUGAAGGGAGGUCUGUAGGCAGCUGGUUAUUUGUUUUUCUCAUCCUCUCUUGGCAUUCUACCUUCAUCUGGAAAAAAAAUUAAAAAGGAGGAUACUUUAUAGGCCCUGUCUCAAGUAUCUGACUUCCCUGGGAAGCUCGAUUCUCACAUUCAAAAUAUGUGGGGAGUUUGGUUCAGUUAAAUUUUAUCACACCAGAAUUGUUGAAAAGCAAUAAAUUAUUACUGUAUAAUUGGUGCCUGUUUGUUAUCUUAGGUAUUGUUAUUUCUGUUUUUAACUUGUUUGGAAAACCAUAGACCAUAAACUUUUCUCAACGUUUGAUGCAGAGCUCCAACCGAACUAGCAAAGAACAUUUCCUCAAAGAAAUGGAGUAUUUUUUUCUGUAACAAUUUAACUUUCUGUCUUUCAUUCUUCAAAAUGUAUCACUAUAAAUUUCCUACAAAAAGAGCUAUUUCUUCUCUCAGUAUCAUACAGAUUGAUUUGUAUAGAUGUAUAUGUAUGGCUGUUAAAUUAUUUGUUGGUAUAAAAUGGUGAGUGUCAGUAUAAUAAUGAUGAUAAUAAAUAGUAGCUAACAUUUAAA
rnacentral:antisense_RNA from 1 species